rnacentral:rRNA from 1 species
AGCGUAGACGGUGUGGCAAGUCUGAUGUGAAAGGCAUGGGCUCAACCUGUGGACUGCAUUGGAAACUGUCAUACUUGAGUGCCGGAGGGGUAAGCGGAAUUCCUAGUGUAGCGGUGAAAUGCAUAGAUAUUAGGAGGAACACCAGUGGCGAAGGCGGCUUACUGGACGGUAACUGACGUUGAGGCUCGAAAGCGUGGGAGCAAACA